UACGGAGGGAGCUAGCGUUGUUCGGAAUUACUGGGCGUAAAGCGCACGUAGGCGGCUUUGUAAGUUAGAGGUGAAAGCCCGGGGCUCAACUCCGGAACUGCCUUUAAGACGUGCAUCGCUUGAAUCCAGGAGAGGUGAGUGGAAUUCCGAGUGUAGAGGUGAAAUUCGUAGAUAUUCGGAAGAACACCAGUGGCGAAGGCGGCUACACUGGAGCUGGUAUUGACGCUGAGGUGCGAAAGCGUGGGGAGCAAACAGG
rnacentral:rRNA from 1 species